GGAGAUCAGGCCCCUGCCCUCCCUCAACCAUUGGACCUGUGCCCCGCCUUAGCACCAUAGGGUUGAACUCACCCCAACUUCUUUCUCCCAACGCCUGACCCUCCCUCCUCCUGGUCUCCCUCCACUGAGCCCCUGACACCUCCACAGGGCAGAUUUCCAGGCUGAGAGCUAAGCUGACAGCCAGGCUAGGACCCUGAGCUCUCACCUUACUUCCCUGCCUGGCUGGCACUUGCCCUGCCCCAUGCCCAACCCAGUGCCACCCCUACCUCCCAGUCCAUGCAAGAGGUCCGAGUUUCCAAAUUAGGUUUUUGGCCAGGUGCAGUGGCUCACAACUGUAAUCCCAGCACUUUGGGAGGCUGAGGCGAGCAGAUCCCUUGAGCCCAGGGCUUUGAGACUAGCCUGGGUUGAACAUGGCAAGACUCCCUGUCUACAAAAAAUACAAAAAUUAGCUGGGCACGGUGGUGCGCAUCUGAAAUCUCAGCUACCUGGGAGCUAAGAUGGGAAGAUUGCUUGAGCCUGGGACGUCAAGGCUGCAGUGAGCUGUGAUCACCCCACUGCACUCUGCCUGGGCAAUAGAGCGAGAAAAAAAUUUUUUUUAAAUUAGGUUUUCAUAAUUAUCUUUUUCAUCAUUAUGAAAGCAAUCCUUCCACACCAAGGGAAACAUUGAGAAAAUACCAAGUUUUAGAAAGGCGAAAUGAAAAUAAAUCUCCUAACUUCCCAUCACCCAUAUAAGCAGUUGGCUUAUAUGUUAUAUCUAACUGCUUCUGUGGAACUGAGGGAAACCCAGAUAACCCCCAUAUGGACUUGGCUCUGAGCCGCUGGGCCACCCUCCCAGCCUGCCGCCACCGAGGCUGGUGCUGCUGGGCCUCACAGUCCAUCCUGGAGUCUGGUUUCCCAGAAUCUGACCUGAUGGAGAAUUUCUCUCCCCCUCAGCCCUUGGCUUGGUGUUAGUUAGGAAAAUAGGCUCCUAAUUCCUACCUUGAGCCCCCUAAAUAUAGGUCUCUUCAUUUAUCAUCACCAAUCAUCCCCCCACAAAAGAGGUAACCAUACCCCCUGGUGGGGGUGGCACCUGGUGGUGGUAAAACAGACCCUGGGUCUUCUGGCCCAGAUAAGGGCUGGUGAGGUCACUUUUAACCAUGCUGCCACCAGGGACUCGGGUCCUGGUGCAACUGUCCCCUCAGUUCCGUGGUCGCGUGGCUGGGCUGUGUGGUGACUUUGAUGGAGAUGCCAGUAAUGAUCUGCGGAGCCGCCAGGGCGUCCUGGAGCCCACAGCUGAACUGGCUGCCCACUCCUGGCGCCUCAGCCCCCUCUGCCCUGAGCCAGGAGACCUGCCACACCCCUGCACGAUGAACACACACCGGGCUGGUUGGGCUCGGGCCCGCUGUGGGGCGCUGCUGCAGCCGCUCUUCACAUUAUGCCACGCGGAGGUCCCCCCGCAGCAGCACUAUGAGUGGUGCCUGUAUGACGCCUGCGGCUGCGACUCGGGGGGUGACUGUGAGUGCCUCUGCUCGGCCAUUGCCACCUAUGCAGAUGAGUGUGCCCGGCAUGGGCACCACGUGCGCUGGCGUAGCCAGGAGCUCUGCUCCCUGCAGUGUGAAGGGGGACAGGUAUAUGAGGCCUGUGGCCCCACGUGUCCCCCCACCUGCCAUGAGCAGCAUCCUGAGCCCGGGUGGCACUGCCAGGUGGUGGCCUGUGUGGAGGGCUGCUUCUGCCCCGAGGGGACUCUGCUGCACGGAGGAGCCUGCUUGGAGCCAGCUUCCUGCCCCUGUGAGUGGGGCCGCAACUCCUUCCCGCCGGGGUCUGUGCUGCAAAAGGACUGCGGGAACUGCACGUGCCAGGAAGGUCAAUGGCAUUGUGGGGGUGACGGUGGCCACUGUGAGGAGCUUGUGCCUGCCUGUGCAGAGGGAGAGGCCCUGUGCCAAGAGAAUGGGCACUGUGUGCCCCAUGGGUGGCUUUGUGACAACCAGGACGACUGUGGCGAUGGCUCUGAUGAGGAGGGUUGUGCCGCCCCAGGCUGUGGGGAGGGGCAGAUGACUUGCAGCUCCGGCCACUGCCUGCCCCUGGCCCUGCUCUGUGACCGCCAGGAUGACUGUGGAGAUGGCACGGAUGAGCCGAGCUAUCCGUGCCCCCAGGGCUUGCUGGCCUGUGCCGAUGGACGCUGCCUGCCGCCGGCCCUGCUCUGCGAUGGGCAUCCUGACUGUCUGGAUGCCGCCGACGAGGAGUCCUGUCUGGGGCAGGUGACCUGCGUCCCCGGGGAGGUGUCCUGUGUUGAUGGCACCUGCCUGGGGGCCAUCCAGCUGUGUGACGGAGUCUGGGACUGCCCAGAUGGAGCCGAUGAGGGGCCGGGACACUGCCCCCUACCUUCUCUGCCCACACCUCCUGCCAGCACCUUGCCUGGCCCCUCCCCAGGCUCCCUGGACACUGCGUCAAGUCCCCUGGCCAGCGCCAGCCCUGCGCCACCCUGCGGCCCCUUCGAGUUUCGGUGCGGCAGCGGCGAGUGCACCCCGCGGGGCUGGCGCUGCGACCAGGAGGAAGACUGCGCCGACGGCAGCGACGAGCGCGGCUGCGGAGGGCCCUGCGCGCCGCACCACGCGCCCUGCGCCCGCGGCCCUCACUGCGUGUCCCCCGAGCAGCUGUGCGACGGCGUGCGGCAGUGUCCCGACGGCUCGGACGAGGGCCCCGACGCCUGCGUUGAGGCUCCCGCGCCCCCGGCCAUGCGCGGCCCCCCUGGCCAAGCCGGCGGGCCCACCUCUUCCCGAGCGCCAUCCCCACCUUCGCCUCCUGAGGCACAGGGAGAGGGCAGGAAGGGACAGGAGCGGAGCAGGACACAUCUCACAGUGCCCGCAGGCUCCACCCAGCUGCCUCUGUGCCCUGGCCUCUUUCCCUGUGGUGUGGCUCCGGGGCUGUGCCUGACCCCUGAGCAGCUCUGUGAUGGGAUCCCAGACUGUCCCCAGGGCGAGGACGAGCUGGACUGCGGGGGGCUGCCAGCCCUGGGAGGCCCCAACAGGACAGGGCUUCCCUGCCCAGAAUACACCUGCCCCAAUGGCACCUGCAUAGGCUUCCAGCUGGUGAGGGUGGGAGUGGGUGGAGGAGGCGGCAGUGCCAUGUUGCCUCCCAGCACAAGAGCCCUGACCCCACUCCCUCCCCAGGUGUGUGAUGGGCAGCCUGACUGUGGAAGGCCAGGGCAGGUGGGCCCCUCCCCAGAAGAGCAGGGUUGUGGGGCCUGGGGCCCCUGGAGCCCAUGGGGGCCCUGCAGCCGGACGUGUGGGCCCUGGGGCCAGGGCCGGAGCCGCCGCUGCUCCCCACUCGGCCUCCUGGUGCUACAGAACUGCCCAGGGCCUGAGCACCAGUCUCAGGCCUGCUUCACGGCAGCCUGCCCAGUGGACGGUGAAUGGAGCACCUGGUCCCCCUGGUCUGUGUGCUCUGAGCCGUGCAGGGGCACCAUGACGCGGCAACGGCAGUGCCACUCACCCCAGAAUGGGGGCCGCACCUGUGCUGCACUGCCCGGAGGCCUGCACAGCACCCGCCAGACCAAGCCUUGCCCUCAGGACGGCUGCCCCAAUGCCACUUGCUCUGGGGAGCUGAUGUUCCAGCCCUGUGCCCCCUGCCCACUGACCUGUGAUGACAUCUCUGGCCAGGUCACGUGCCCACCUGAUUGGCCCUGCGGCAGCCCGGGCUGCUGGUGCCCAGAAGGGCAGGUGCUGGGCAGCGAGGGGUGGUGUGUGUGGCCCCGGCAGUGCCCCUGCCUGGUGGACGGUGCCCGCUACUGGCCUGGGCAACGCAUCAAGGCCGACUGCCAGCUCUGCAUCUGCCAAGACGGACGGCCCCGACGCUGCCGACUCAACCCGGACUGCGCUGUGGACUGUGGCUGGUCCUCCUGGUCACCCUGGGCCAAGUGCCUGGGCCCCUGUGGAAGCCAGAGCAUCCAGUGGUCCUUCCGGAGCUCCAACAACCCCCGCCCCUCCGGCCGAGGUCGCCAGUGCCGUGGCAUCCACCGCAAGGCACGCAGGUGCCAGACGGAGCCCUGUGAGGGGUGUGAGCAUCAGGGCCAGGUCCACCGUGUCGGGGAACGCUGGCAUGGGGGCCCCUGCAGGGUGUGCCAGUGUCUGCACAACCUCACCGCACACUGCUCACCCUACUGCCCGCUCGGCAGCUGCCCCCAGGGCUGGGUCUUGGUGGAGGGGACGGGAGAAUCAUGCUGCCACUGUGCCCUACCUGGAGAGAACCAGACGGUCCAGCCCAUGGCCACUCCUGCCGCAGCUCCGGCUCCCAGUCCCCAGAUCAGAUUCCCUUUGGCCACUUACAUUCUGCCUCCGUCAGGAGACCCCUGCUAUUCUCCCCUGGGGCUGGCCGGACUGGCUGAGGGGAGUCUGCAUGCAUCGUCCCAGCAGCUGGAACACCCCACCCAGGCUGCCCUCCUGGGGGCUCCCACCCAGGGGCCCAGCCCUCAGGGAUGGCACGCUGGAGGGGAUGCUUAUGCCAAGUGGCACACUCGGCCCCAUUACCUGCAGCUGGACCUGCUUCAGCCUCGGAACCUCACUGGCAUCCUAGUGCCGGAGACUGGCUCCUCCAACGCAUAUGCCAGCAGCUUCUCACUCCAGUUCAGCAGCAAUGGUCUACACUGGCAUGACUAUCGUGACCUCCUGCCUGGCAUCUUGCCCCUGCCCAAGGUAUCACCCGCCCAAGGCCGAUGGGGCCAGCAGCCCACCAUGCCCUUUUGUGGGUUCCAUAGUCUUUGUCCCCAAGGGCCUUCCAGUGUCCCCGAGGGGCAUGGCCUGCAUUCGAUGCUUGUUGAAUACCUGGUGAGUAGCAGGGACUGUGCUCUGUGGAGCCGAGGCUUGGGUGCCACUGUCACAUGGAUGCUGGAAACCAUCCAAGUGGCUCAGACUCAGGGCAGGUAUGUGAAGCCUGCAAGGGAGAGAGGAUGGGGAGACACCAAGUUCACUGAGGGCCUCCGGGAGCCCAGACCCACGCACGUCUUCGUGGAGAGCAGCCUGGGCACAGCCCUGCCCUCAGGGGGUUUGCAUCCUUCCCGGAGACAAACCGCACGAAGCGGUAGGAAUCAGUCCGUGCUGUGUUAAGUCUUAACUGUUUCAGGAGCACCUGCUCUGUGCCAGGUGCCGAGCCAGGCCCUGGGGACACAGCAGUGAACAGGACCUGGCCUUUGCCCUAGGGGCACCUCCAGCUUAGCGAGAGGAGCUCAGUCCAGGACCAGCCCCCUCCAGCCUUGAGAGGCCCAAAUGCCUACUGCCAGGGUGGGGGGCAUGGCUCUGGGAGGGGCCGUGAAAACUGGGGAAAAAGUGGGGUCACUCAAAGUCAUGAGGUCAGCCUGAAAAAGAGGUGAAGCUCAGUCAUCCGCAUCCUCUGCUGGCAGCUUUUCCCCAGAAACUGGGAUGACCUGGACCCUGCCGUAUGGACUUUCGGCCGCAUGGUGCAGGCGAGGUUUGUCAGGGUGUGGCCCCACGAUGUCCACCACAGCGAUGUCCCCCUGCAGGUGGAGCUGCUGGGCUGCGAGCCAGGGUCCCCACCGGCACCUCUGUGCCCAGGGGUUGGACUCCGCUGUGCCAGUGGUGAGUGUGUCCUGAGAGGGGGCCCUUGUGACGGUGUUCUGGACUGCGAGGAUGGCUCGGAUGAGGAGGGCUGUGUGUUGCUGCCUGAGGGCACUGGCAGAUUCCAUUCCACAGCCAAGACCCUGGCCCUCUCCUCUGCCCAGCCGGGGCAGCUGCUGCACUGGCCCAGGGAGGUGAGUGUAGAGCCUUGGGCCCAGAGGGUGGAGUGGGGGGACGGGGACCUCGCCUCACAGCCUCACCAGCCCUGCUCCUGCACCAGCUGGCGGCGUCUCCCCUCUCCGCAGCAUUUCCUCCUGUGUGUUCCCUGGUACUGCUCUCAGGAGCCUUGCCGGUGCCUGGCUGCAGAGACGUGCAGGCAGAGCGAGGGCCCAGAGGGGUUUGGGGACAAGAGAAGCCUGCACCCCUGAUAGGGAGCUUAUGCCCACGGGGCAGGCACCAGGGCAUCUGGUGCUCAGAGCCGAAAAGAGCCCUGUGCCCGGGUCCCCAGGGGCUUCCCGGACAAGACUUGAGGGCUGGAGAGGGGUGUCUAUAGUGUGGAGAAGGCGCGGAGCACCUUCCCACCUGGAAUGGCCUGGUCAGCAACCCAGAGUGUGUGGGUGGGGUAGGGGGUAGGGGGUGGACAUGUGCAUUGGGUGGGGGAAGGGGAGUUUGAGGGGCAAGAGCUGAAAUGGAUCACCCUGGUGGGCUGCUGAGAAUAAGGUCCCUGAGCUCCUUGAGGGCAGUGGGCUGGUGCCUGGAAGCGCAGUUGCGUGCUCAGCUCUGCCCUGGGCUGCGGGGGAGGAAGAUGGACAGGAAGCAGUGCUGGGACUGUGAGCGCCCAGGCUGUAUCCUCAGGGGAUGGGAGCUGCCCUCAGGGCCGGGGGCUGUGCAGGGUGCUGAGCCCUCUCCCUCUGCAGGGCCUGGCAGAGACUGAGCACUGGCCCCCUGGGCAGGAAUCCCCCACGUCCCCGACAGGUGUGUGCACAGACUCCAGGCCUCCUCCCCAAACUCUUGUCCCACCUGUUCUUCCAGAGCCAGGGGCCGUUACAUCUCAGGGGUUCAAAUCCCAUGACCCCUGACUUCCCCACAACCAAGAGAGUCACGGGGUUGGCUCAGGGAGGAGACACUGGUCACUUUGGACAUGGCCAGGUCCUGCCCCUGCCCACCCCCUGGGAUUCCAAGGUAUGUGGCUGUAGGUUGGCGGGGCAGGUAGCUCCAGGCCAGCUCCCAGGACUGAGCCUGUGCCCUGUAAUGUGGCUGCCUCUCCAGAUGCCUGGUCAGGACAGGUCUCCCCCAUGGGGGUGGGAGGCCACUUGGCUCCAGCCUGCACUCUCUCUGCUCACCAUCCAUGGAGCCAGGCCCCCCUUUCUGAAGCGUUUGCUGGCAUCAAAUGUCUCUUAAGUGGGCACGGGGGUUGGAUGUGGUCACCAAGUUGGCAUGCUCCUAUAUAAGGAAGGAAGAGGCUCUGCCUGGUUGUGAACCGGCCUCCCUGGAGCUACCUGAUUAUUCACCUGUGUGCUAGCCAGCAGAGAGCUGCCUCCUGGAGGGCCUGCUGUCCUGCGGGGAUGAGGGGGUGGUAAGAGGGCUUUUGGUGUGGGUGAAUUCUUGCCCUCAUUUCUAGCCCCUAUGGGAGGGAUCUGGGUGAGGCUUGGGGCAGCAGGGGCUGGAGAGGAAGGAGGGUGAGGGCACCAGGUCUGCUCUUUCAUUCUGGCUCAUCCUCCCCUGGGCCUCAGCUUUUCCCCAUCUGUGACACUAGGAGGCCUUAUAGACAACUGUGGCCCCUCCCUGUGAGUUCUGAUGGAAGUUAUUCAGAACCUGGCCGGACUGUUUCUGUGUCUUUUGUGAAAAGCAGACAAAGCAAUUGAUGCCACCCCUCAGAUCCAUAACAUGCAGACCCAUGGGAUACAUUAUAAUUUCAUUCUCAGUCUGGUU
ensembl:lncRNA novel transcript